CUCAAAUCCCUCUCGCGUUAUUUUAACGUCAUCCGUUUGUACGUUCUUGCAACGCAGCAUUAUGUAGAACACCUUAUCAAAAAUGAUUGAGAUGGCCAAUCAAAUCAAAAAAAGGUGAGUGCCACUGGCCAAUCACAUAACAGAUGACGAGCUUUCCUCUGCUUUCCUGUUGACGCAAGCCGAGCGGUGGCCAAUCAAAUAAACCAAUAGGCGGGGUAACCGUUACAGGAGCAACGCUGCCUGCAGCCGGCCAUCAUAACGGACACAGAUUUCAAAGCGGGUGAAAGAUACUAGUUGCCAACCGCCAAUAAAAGUUAAAGAAGAAGAAAGAACAAGAUUACUAUGUGUCAGGUCUGUGUUCAUCAAGACUUGGAAGACUAUGGAGUAGGACAAAAAGGAUGAUGGGGUGUAUAUUCCAGUAGACACGUAAAACAUCAAGUGGGCUGCUGUAAUGUUUACGUCUAUGGAAAGAGGAGCUGAGAAGCAGUACUUCUUGUUGAGGACAAUCUUGAACACUUUCUCAUACACAUUUAUUAUUAUUAUUAGUGUUGGAUUGUUUUUGUUUCAAUUUUAUUAAUUGUAUUGUUUUAAUUUUUCGAUCGAUUUGAAAUUACCUCAGUUAGAUUCAUGCUAAUACUUUAACUGGAACUUGUAUCUUUCCGUAAAGCUGACUGUAGAGUUGGUUUCACAUACACAUGAAGUUGUAGUGUUUCUAAUUAACUUAACUAACUUUUAAGUUCAGUUUGGUUCAAACUUGUAUUUACCCAUGGUAAUUCAUUUAAAUUUUAAUUCAUGCUAAUAUGUUAAUUUCAAUGAAAAACUUCUGUAUUUGUGUAUAGCUGGUCAUUUGGGCAAACUAUGUUUCACACACCAGUGUAACUGUCACAAUGUUUUUUUAUUUUUUUUUUAUUAUUAGUUUGUUCUAAACUUCUGUUUGUUUACUAAGGAUUAAAUUGCUUUGUAAUUUAAGUUGUUGGUGUUAGAUUCAUGCCAAUAAUGUAUUUGAACAAACUAGUAUUUUUGUUUAUUGCUGGCAGUUUAUAUUAGAAUAGUUUUAACACAUACAAUGUGGAUGUCGUAGUGUUAUUGACUUGUGUUAUUGAUUAAUAAAAAUGGCAAAUAAUUUCAAAGUAAUUUUUUGUGUUAUUUAUUAAUAUAAUUUGGGCAAGAUCAGGCUGAGUUAUGGCUCAGUUUUGGAAGUUCUGGUU